rnacentral:rRNA from 1 species
UACAGAGGGGGCAAGCGUUGUUCGGAAUUACUGGGCGUAAAGGGCGCGUAGGCGGCCCGCUAAGUCGAACGUGAAAUCCCCGAGCUCAACUCGGGAACUGCGUCCGAUACUGGUGGGCUUGAAUCCGGGAGAGGGAUGCGGAAUUCCAGGUGUAGCGGUGAAAUGCGUAGAUAUCUGGAGGAACACCGGUGGCGAAGGCGGCAUCCUGGACCAACACUGACGCUGAGGAGCGAAAGCCAGGGGAGCAAACGGG